GUGGGGAAUAUUGGACAAUGGGCGAAAGCCUGAUCCAGCCAUGCCGCGUGUGUGAAGAAGGUCUUCGGAUUGUAAAGCACUUUAAGUUGGGAGGAAGGGCAGUAAGUUAAUACCUUGCUGUUUUGACGUUACCGACAGAAUAAGCACCGGCUAACUUCGUGCCAGCAGCCGCGGUAAUACGAAGGGUGCAAGCGUUAAUCGGAAUUACUGGGCGUAAAGCGCGCGUAGGUGGUUUUGUAAGUUGGAGGUGAAAUCCCCGGGCUCAACCUGGGAACUGCCUCCAAAACUGCAUGACUAGAGUACGGUAGAGGGUGGUGGAAUUUCCUGUGUAGCGGUGAAAUGCGUAGAUAUAGGAAGGAACACCAGUGGCGAAGGCGACCACCUGGACUGAUACUGACACUGAGGUGCGAAAGCGUGGGGAGCAAACAGGAUUAGAUACCCCAGUAGUCC
rnacentral:rRNA from 1 species